CAACUCACCAAGACACUGUUCCAAUGCGAGUCUGCCAAAGUAGGGAAGCCCCACACGUCUGGAAUCCACACUCCGACCUGGGAGGAUACUGGAGAAACGAGCAGGAUUCAGAGGUGGGUGAGGAUUUUUGUGUAUUCUGUAGGUCCUGGGAAGGACAGCAGUAGAUGCCAAGGUGUUGUUCAGUGGAUCGUUCUGAGGGUAUGGAAGAUGGGACUGUGCUGUGUCUGAUGGAUAAGGAAGAGUGGGCAAGAGCUGUGGCUUAGGGGCAGGUGGUGGCUGGUUGGUGGGAGGAACCUUGCAGGGGAGGUGCUAGACUAUAUGAAUGAAUGAAUGCUCUAGCCAGGGGCUAGAGCACAGGGACUAUUGAUAGUCAUGUCAUAAGGUCAGAAAUAGAGAGAAAAAAACUAGCAAUGGGCAGAGGGGCAAGACAAUGAGUAGAUGUGACUAGAACCACACAACACUUGCCAGCAAAGGACUCUUUCAUCACCUUGAGAGUAUACACUCUUCACAUGUUAAUAGCUCUAAAACUGGAAUCCCUUACAGUUUGUAUUUCUAGGAAGGCAUACUCCUGUGCACUCGGCAGUACUUAGUGUUCCAUGUUCAACCUUACCAUGGUGUGGUUCUGAGGAGGUCAGAGGAGUGUUUGUCAGAUGCACCAAGGCCUUGAAGUCUGAGCUCUCAGCUGCUUUGCAACUCUGAUGUUUCCUUGAGUGCAUCUUUUCUGUCUUCCUGGGGCUCGCUUCCUAUGUCUCUAAGCAGGGGCUGGUGACAGGUGAGGGAGGACUCUGUUCUGUUGGAUUUCUUCUGGGCUCCCUGAUCAAACUCAAGAGCGGUGUAGUUAAAGCUGCAAACGAGUAACCCAUGGAGGACGGAAGCCAGGUGUCCUUAUUUUGUGUCCAAUUUUAAUUUCCUGGACUACUUGCUUAUUGGUUCUCCCCUCCUCCCUUCUGAGUGUCUCAAGGAAUCCUGGUGCCCUAGAGUCGGGGGCUCCCUGCCUCAGCCUCCUGAGUGCUAUGAUCAUCUUAGGCUGUCUGACUGUAUUUAUCUCAUUCGGUUUCCACGCCACCUUUAGCUUAGUUACUAUUAUUAUUAUUAUUAUUACUACUACUACUACUAAUGUCUUUCCUGACCUCCCUCUAUUGUCUUUCCUCUUCUGAUUUUUGCACAUGGUAAUAAUAAUAAUAAUAAUAAUAAUAAUAAUAAAGUAACACGUGAAUAUGUGGAGGGAGAUAUCAGAAUAACUCAGAUCAACUUCCAAGGCUAGCCAGAUCGAACUGGUCUGGAAGGUGGUGCCAGGAGUCUAGCUCUGAAGGGUCUAUUAGUCCGAUUCCCACAGGGAGAGACCACAGCACAGCAUCUAAGGGUGCUGGAGGAAGUGCUGCUCUGUGGAGCCUCAGUGCAGUGUUUGCAGUUGGCAUCAGUAAGGCCUGGAAGGGUGUGACUUCGCCAGACCCAGGAACUGUUGUUCUGGAUAAACAGCACUUUGAAACUGGGCAUAGGAGAUACGUUUCUGUAACUUCUGGGUCUGGGGUUUAUAGAUUUAGCUGUUUUCUGGAAUUCCAUGAAAGGCAGCUUUCCUGGCACCUUGACCCUUGACCCCAGUUUGGGGGUACUUUCCUUCCUUUCUAUUCUUGCAUGCAGUGACAAACAUCUUAACACAGGUCAUACCAUCCUAGCUCUUUUAUUCCCCAACCCCCAAAUUAAGGAGUGUUGUGUUUAGUGACACUGGUUGUAAGCAUAAAGAGAGUAUACAGUUUGGGGACUGUCCUACAGAGUAAGCCUGCUGACCUGAGCAUGCACACGGAGGGUUUAACUACUGCGGCACCCUCUGCUCCAGUGGAGAUAAAUAGCACUUCAACUUUGCUAUAGACAACCUCACAUGAAUAUUGCAAAAAUUUUCUUUUGAAAGAAUAUAGGUGAUUUAAACAUUCCAGUUAACGUAAUUCCAGAUGGGCAAGAGCUGACUCAGAAACACGGGGCUGAAAAAGCAACAUGGUGGGCGUGGCUUCUCCAGAUACAAGGGCUUCCGCAGCAAUCUAUUCCAGUGAGAGUGAUUUAGGAGAAAUCCUAAAGAAUUCAAAGUGUGAGAGGGCUCGGCAAAAUCCAAGAGAACAGGAAUGAUGUGCAUGCAUGUGAGUGUGUGUGCCACAGAAGCCAGAGGUGUCCAAGUCCCUGAAGCUGUCUUCACUGACAGUUAUGAGACAUCAAACAUGGGUGGUGAGACUCGAACCCUGAUCUUCUGGGAAGGUAGCAUGGGUUCUUCACUGCUGAGCCAUCUGUCCAUUCCCAGAAUGAAGUUUUGAAAGUGAAAAGAUGAGUAAAUAUAGUAAAAACACUCAAUAGAAAAAGUCUCAUCAAUAGGACUGAUCAAGCCGGUGAGGCUAAGGCUGGAAGGCAAGGGUGAUGUCCUAGUUUGUAUUAUUAUCAUUAUUGUUAUUAUCAUUGAUUAUUAUUAUUAUUACCAUUACUAUUACUACUACUAUUGUUUUGAUUUAGUUUUUUGUUUGCUUGUUUGUUUAUUUUGACGAAGGGUCUCUCUCUAUAUUCCUGGCUAUCCUGAAACUCAUUAUAUAGAUCCACCUGCCUGGCUCAACUGCAGAGGAUGGAGAAGUGGGCAGUGUACCUGGAAGGACAGAAGGGCCAGAUGCCAAUGAGCACUAGCACUAGCCACACCCAGAACAAGGGCCACUGCUCAGCCAGAACCCACAGAUAGAUGGGUGUUUCAGCAGAUCAGCGGGGCUGUGGUAGAACGGGAUCUACCCACUCACCUCACCGUUCUGCUUCCCUCUCAGCCAGUCAGUCAGAGACCCAGGAGAGAAAGAUGGCUUCCCUUUAUCUGCAGACUCUGCUGCCCCUCAUUCUUAAGCCCCGCCCAUCCCUCCCUGAUGGGAAAAGGACACAAAGCCAGAAUUAUCUGAAG
rnacentral:lncRNA from 1 species